UACGGAGGGUGCGAGCGUUUAAUCGGAAUUACUGGGCGUAAAGCGUGUGUAGGCGGCCAUGUAAGUCGGAUGUGAAAGCCCCGGGCUCAACCCGGGAAGUGCACUCGAUACUGCGUGGCUUGAGUAUCGGAGAGGUUGGUGGAAUUCUCGGUGUAGAGGUGAAAUUCGUAGAUAUCGAGAGGAACACCUGCGGCGAAGGCGGGUUGCUGGGCUGACACUGACGCUGAGGCGCGAAAGCCAGGGGAGCGAACGGG
rnacentral:rRNA from 1 species